UCCCUGAUUGUCCAGUGGCUAAGAUUCUGCACUCCCAAUGCAGGGCCCCUGGGUUCAAUCCCUGGUCAGGGAA
rnacentral:tRNA from 1 species